UUUUUUUUUUUUUGGAAGAAUUUUACAAUCAAUUCUCAUUGAGAAUUAUAAGUAAAUUAUUUUAGCGUGGUACUAUAACAGGAAUAAUAAGUGAUGUUUGAUUCUAGCUGAAUCUAAUGUUUAAAUCUAGAGGGUAAUGUCCUUUUAGCCUGCGGAUCUGACCUGUCAUGUCUAGUAAUCGAGUAAUUAGUGGGUUUUGGUGGUUGUUAAUUCUUAUGUUAUAUCUAUUGCUGAAUUUGGAUAUUUCUUCUUUAACUGUGGGUAUCUUAAGGUCGCGAUGUAUUGUUUCGUUGGUAACAUACCAAAGUGCGUCUAUUAAGAAUCUUAGAGUUUUUGAUUGGAAUCGUUGGAGAAUUUCUAUGUUGGAAUUACUCGUUGUUCCCCAUAGUUGGAUCCCAUAGAUCCAAACAGAUUUUAAUAUGUCUUCAGAUAGCAUUAUUUUACUCUGCAUGUUUAAGUUGGAGCAUCUACCAAUGAGCCAGUAGAAUCUUUUUAGUUUUGAUUUCAGUUGUUUAGAUUUAUCUACGAUGUGCCGUUUCCAUGUCAUUCUUCUGUCCACAGUCAUGCUCAGAUAUCUGACUGACUCUUCGUUUGGAAUUGGAGCAUUAAGCAUCGUUGAAUCCCAUAGGUCCAAACAGGUUUUAAUAUGGUUUUAUAUAGCAUUAUUUUACUCUGCAUGUUUAAGUUGGACCAUCUACCAAUGAGCCAGUAGAAUCUUUUUAGUUUUGAUUUCAGUAAUUUAGAUUUAUCUACGAUGAUGCGGCGGCACUCGGCGACAAUGUAUAUCACCAAAGCGAAAUGCCUAAUGAGUCAUCAAUAUCCCAACGGUCCUUCCGCCGAAUGUUCGAGAAGAAGGCGUGCGUGGACGCCUAGCAAACGCGUGGAUAGUGGGUAUAUUGAGGUAUGACAAAGGAAAAAUAAACGGAUCCGAUCGAAAGUCAAGUUGUAAGAGCUUCAGUCUUGGAAAGUCACGGCUGGAGUUCGGAAGUAAACUGUCGUUAGUGUAAGCCCAAGUGUUAGGAAAUAAAUUCUCUCUUUUUUAUUUUCAUCUGCGAUUUCUUCUUUUUAUUUUAUUUUACGUGACAGUACAUUGGGCAUGUCGGCCUUACGCUUUGAUGGUAUAGCGCGUUGUGUUCCAUAGUGGAAUGCCGCCACAAUUACAAUUAUCUACGUACCAUAUAUUUAGAGACAAUUAUCAUGUUUCUCUCCAUAUGAUGCUAGCCCGGCGUUAACGCGGAAUUACUCGUUGAAAUUCAAUUAUUAGAUGCGAAAUCGAUCGAAAGAACGAAAGCUUCUUGCCACGUGACAAGUCAUCAGCAUGUUGAUCGCUGCAUGGAAGAAUACUGGUAUCGAACAAUACGUCCAUUUUCUGCGUGGCCGUGCAUUGUUCGUUCAGCGCG
rnacentral:misc_RNA from 1 species